rnacentral:rRNA from 1 species
UACAGAGGUGGCAAGCGUUGUUCGGAUUUACUGGGCGUAAAGGGUGCGUAGGUGGUCGCUCGUGUCGGGUGUGAAAGCCCACGGCUUAACCGUGGAACGGCAUUCGAAACUGGGCGACUUGAGUACAGGAGGGGAGAGCGGAAUUCUUGGUGUAGCGGUGAAAUGCGUUGAUAUCGGAAGGAACGCCGGUGGCGAAAGCGGCGUGCUGGACCUCUGCUGACGCUGAGGCGCGAAAGCCAGGGGAGCGAACGGG